UUGCAGGCUGCAACCCGCCUGUAUGAAGUUGGAAUCGCUAGUAAUCGCGGAUCAGCAUGCCGCGGUGAAUACGUUCCCGGGCCUUGUACACACCGCCCGUCACACCAUGAGAGUCGGGAACACCCGAAGUCCGUAGUCUAACCGCAAGGGGACGCGGCCGAAGGUGGGUUCGAUAAUUGGGGUGAAGUCGUAACAAGGUAUC
rnacentral:rRNA from 1 species